UAGGGAAUAUUGGUCAAUGGAGGCAACUCUGAACCAGCCAUGCCGCGUGCAGGAAGACUGCCCUAUGGGUUGUAAACUGCUUUUGUACGGGAAGAAAUGUUACUACGUGUAGUAAUUUGACGGUACCGUAAGAAUAAGGAUCGGCUAACUUCGUG
rnacentral:rRNA from 1 species